AUGUUGGGUGUCACUCGGCCCUCCCUCUCUCUGCUGCCCCCCUCCAGUGAGGAGCUCCAGCGGGGGAAGGCUACACUGCUGUGUUUGGUCAGUAAGGGCUUUCCCUCAGACUGGACACUGAGCUGGAAGGUGGACGGUAGCAGGUGGAGCUCAGGUGUGGUGGUCAGCCCCGGCGUGCUGCAGCAGGGAAACGGCCUGUACAGCUGGAGCAGCACGCUGACCCUCACUGAGGACCAGUGGAGGAAGACGAGGGCAGUGAGCUGUGAGACCGUAGAGUUAAAAUGUACAUAUUAUGGGCUUCAACAUCUUCAGGAAAAGAAAGAACUGGCCAUUCCGGGUGUGGAAUGCAACACUGAAGGUGGUUUCCUGCUACUGCCCCUCUCAGUCUCCAGUGGAGUGAAGUCCUGA